UACAGAGGUCCCAAGCGUUGUUCGGAUUCAUUGGGCGUAAAGGGUGCGUAGGUGGCGCUGUAAGUCGGGUGUGAAAUUUCGGAGCUUAACUCCGAAACUGCAUUCGAUACUGCGGUGCUUGAGGACUGGAGAGGAGACUGGAAUUCAUGGUGUAGCAGUGAAAUGCGUAGAGACCAUGAGGAAGACCAGUGGCGAAGGCGGGGUCUCUGGACAGUUCCUGACACUGAGGCACGAAGGCCAGGGGGAGCAAACGGGG
rnacentral:rRNA from 1 species